rnacentral:pre_miRNA from 1 species
AGGGGAGACAAUCUGUCUACAUGUGCAUUCAUUCCAGUCAUGAGACAGUGCGUCCUCCCUCA